GAUGAACGCUGGCGGCGUGCUUAACACAUGCAAGUCGAACGGUGAAGGCGGAGCUUGCUCUGCUGGAUCAGUGGCGAACGGGUGAGUAACACGUGAGCAAUCUGCCCCUGACUCUGGGAUAAGCGCUGGAAACGGCGUCUAAUACUGGAUACGAGCUGCGAAGGCAUCUUCAGCAGCUGGAAAGAAUUUCGGUCAGGGAUGAGCUCGCGGCCUAUCAGCUUGUUGGUGAGGUAAUGGCUCACCAAGGCGUCGACGGGUAGCCGGCCUGAGAGGGUGACCGGCCACACUGGGACUGAGACACGGCCCAGACUCCUACGGGAGGCAGCAGUGGGGAAUAUUGCACAAUGGGCGAAAGCCUGAUGCAGCAACGCCGCGUGAGGGACGACGGCCUUCGGGUUGGAAACCUCUUUUAGCAGGGAAGAAGCGAAAGUGACGGUACCUGCAGAAAAAGCGCCGGCUAACUACGU
rnacentral:rRNA from 1 species